UACACACAUACACUAUCCCCAUACACACACACUGUAUGGACUCAGCAGUCUGUGUGUGUGUAUGGACUGAGCAGUCUGUGUGUGUGUGUGUGUGUGUGUGUGUAUGGACUCAGCAGUGUGUGUGUAUGGACUCAGCAGUCUGUGUGUGUGUGUGUGUGUGUAUGGACUCAGCAGUUUGUGUGUGUAUGGACUCAGCAGUCUGUGUGUGUGUGUGUGUGUAUGGACUCGGCAGUCUGUGUGUG